UGGGCCACGUAUGGGGUAGAGGUGUGCGUGGGUGGGCGCACCAGGCUUCCUUGCACCCAAACAGGUCAUCUGCGGCGAGGCACCCUGAGCUCUCAGGAGGCGACCGCCCUGGACCUGCGCUUCACCGUCCGCACCGGCGUCCGGGUGCCGAGUCCUGUCCUCCGUUUCCAACAAGGGACGGGCUUGGCCCCCGGCCUGUCGACAAGUCACCCUCCUGCCACCCGCCUUGGGCUCACCCUCGAGCACAUCAUAGCAGCAAUGACGUGACAUUGGCCAAUCCUUGCGUCUCAUACUGACCCCCCAUUCAGGGACCGCGAGGACGGCACUGCCAUCCCCCAAGUUGACAGCUGGACCAGGAGGACAGAGGCACGAGUUCCCAGAACCAAGGUCUCAUUCGUUGUGUCCCUUUCACUGCUGCGAGGAGCAGAUGCCCUGAACCUGCCUGAGGUUGGAAGAAACAGAAAUUGAGGGAAGGAGAGAGAGAGAGACCUGCAGCCCUUCUCACUGCUUGUGGAGCCUUCCCACUGCAGGGUCAUCUCCAGACUGUGUGAAAUUACAUAACUGUGUCAGCUGCACCUCUCACAGCAAGGUAGCCGGAACAGGAAGUGCUCUCAGGAAGACAGGAAGAACUGAGGUCCCUCCUUGAUUUACACCUGUAUGCACUGCCCCACCCCCUCACUGAUGCCCAGGUAAGGUGGUAAAGCCCGAAGAAAAGCUGAGGAAAAAGAACAGAGGAAGUACACUUAAAAAAGGUCAGAGUUGUGCUGGGGAGACAGCAUGUUAGUUCUAAAAACAGACUCUCAUGCUUGAAGCUCUGAGGUCCCAGGUUCAAUCCCCAGCAUCAGCCAAAGCUGAGUGGGGCUCUGCUAACUAAAAUCAAAUCAAAUCAGAGUUCAUUCUCAUUCUAUUUUUUUUUUUUUUUUAAGAUUUGUUUAUGGAGCCGAGUGGUGUCGCACCUGGUUGAGUGCACACGUUGUAAUGCUCAAGGACCUGGGUUCAAGUCGCUGGUCCCCACCUACGGGGGGAAAGCUUUGCAAGUGGUGAAGCAGUGCUGCACAUGUCUCUCUGUCUCUUUCCCUCUCUAUCUUCCCCUUCCUCUCAAC